ACGUAGGGGGCAAGCGUUGCUCGGAAUUACUGGGCGUAAAGGGUGUGUAGGCGGCUGAUUAAGUCAAGGAUGAAAUCCCGAGGCUCAACUUCGGAACGGUCCUUGAUACUGGUCAGCUUGAGGCUAGUAAAGGAGAGCGGAAUUCCCGGUGGAGCGGUGAAAUGCUUAGAUAUCGGGAGGAACACCAGAGGCGAAGGCGUUUCUCUAGGCUAGUCCUGACGCUGAGACACGAAAGCUAGGGGAGCAAACAG
rnacentral:rRNA from 1 species